UGGUGCAAACAACCUUGAAGCGGGACGCAGCCAAAGAACACGAGAUGCCAUUUCUCAGCCCAAUUGGAAAGAGGCCGGGAGCACCAGUUCCCUGACCCCCUCAGCCCCACCGCCUGCCGCCCCCUGGUACUGACCAGCUCCUUCUUCCUCUUCUCCUCUUUCACGUCGGUCUUCUUGAUCUCUGCCUUGAAGGCCUCCGCCUCGCCAUUCUGGUCGUCCUUGGCCAGCAGGUCCAUGAGAGAUCCUGGCAAAUGGGUGUUUCUUCCCAGAAAGGGAUUUUUCUCCAUGACUGCAGUUGAAUUGCAGAGUUGUAGAGACAUCCAGGUUCUUGUUAGUGUGGACGAACUAUCCAUGAAGAUCUUAAAUGCAGGAGUCUAUGAGAACACCAAUUAAUCAAUUGUCAAAUAUUUGAGUAUCUAUU
rnacentral:lncRNA from 1 species